rnacentral:sRNA from 1 species
GACCACCCGCCCUGCGGGUAAAGGCCAUACGGACAGCCAGGUCAGAUGCCGA